AAAUUGAAGAGUUUGAUCAUGGCUCAGAUUGAACGCUGGCGGCAGGCCUAACACAUGCAAGUCGAACGGUAACAGGAAGCAGCUUGCUGCUUCGCUGACGAGUGGCGGACGGGUGAGUAAUGUCUGGGAAACUGCCUGAUGGAGGGGGAUAACUACUGGAAACGGUAGCUAAUACCGCAUAAUGUCGCAAGACCAAAGAGGGGGACCUUCGGGCCUCUUGCCAUCGGAUGUGCCCAGAUGGGAUUAGCUUGUUGGUGGGGUAACGGCUCACCAAGGCGACGAUCCCUAGCUGGUCUGAGAGGAUGACCAGCCACACUGGAACUGAGACACGGUCCAGACUCCUACGGGAGGCAGCAGUGGGGA
rnacentral:rRNA from 1 species